UUUUCCUACGGGAGGCAGCAGUGGGGAAUAUUGCACAAUGGGGGAAACCCUGAUGCAGCGACGCCGCGUGAGUGAAGAAGUAUUUCGGUAUGUAAAGCUCUAUCAGCAGGGAAGAAGUUGACGGUACCUGAGUAAGAAGCCCCGGCUAACUACGUACCAGCAGCCGCGGUAAUACGUAGGGGGCAAGCGCUAUCCGGAUUUACUGGGGGUAAAGGGAGCAUAGACGGCAGUGCAAGUCUGAAGUGAAAGGCCCGGGCUUAACCCGGGAAUUGCUUUGGAAACUGUACGGCUGGAGUGCUGGAGAG
rnacentral:rRNA from 1 species